UACAGAGGUGGCAAGCGUUGUUCGGAAUUACUGGGCGUAAAGGGCGAGUAGGCGGCCUUCUAAGUCAGACGUGAAAUCCCCCGGCUUAACCUGGGAACUGCGUCGGAUACUGGAUGGCUUGAAUUCGGGAGAGGGAUGCAGAAUUCCAGGUGUAGCGGUGAAAUGCGUAGAUAUCUGGAGGAACACCGAUGGCGAAGGCAGGUCUCUGGGCUGACACUGACGCUCAUGCACGAAAGCGUGGGGAGCAAACAGG
rnacentral:rRNA from 1 species